GACCCCGUAGUCUAGCCCGGUCUAGGAUUCCGGCCUUUCGAGCCGGAGACCCGGGUUCAAAUCCCGGCGGGGUCA
rnacentral:tRNA from 1 species